rnacentral:sRNA from 1 species
CGCUUCUCUUCCCUACGACUUGGGAACAUGGCGUUCGCCUUUGGGCUUAGGAGCGUUGCUGGUGCACAAUUUAUGCUCACUUCAUCCCUGCUCUGUCAUCCAUCUGAGCAAUCUCUCUCAGCGUGACUUCCGCAGGAUAGUUGAUGCUUUUGAGACCUCA